rnacentral:rRNA from 1 species
GUGACAAAACCGGAGGAAAGGUGGGGACGACGUCAAAUCAUCAUGCCCCUUAUGACCUGGGCUACACACGUGCUACAAUGGAUGGUACAACGAGUCGCGAAACCGCGAGGUUUAGCUAAUCUCUUAAAACCAUUCUCAGUUCGGACUGUAGGCUGCAACUCGCCUACACGAAGUCGGAAUCGCUAGUAAUCGCGGAUCAGCAUGCCGCGGUGAAUACGUUCCCGGGCCUUGUACACACCGCCCGUCUCUCCAUGAGAGUUUGUAACACCCAAAGCCGGUGGGGUAACCUUUAGAGCUAGC